rnacentral:lncRNA from 1 species
UACCUGCUGCUAUACGUCAUGACCACUGCCAUUUCUCUUACUAUUUCAAUUAUAAUCGAUCUAAUUUGACUUUUAUUGAAUAUGUAAGCGGUCUAGAUCUAGUCUUCCAUCAUCCAUUAUAACUGAUUUUGUACAAUCUGUUUCAGGAUCUUCCAAAAGGCAAAUGGCCAACUGUUGAUGCUUCGUAUUAUGGCGGGGGAGGGGUGGGUGGUAUUGCUCCUGUCAGGGUUGAUUGGGGGGACAAAGGCUCAACAGAAGCAGGAUCAAAACUAGCCAAAGCCAAGAAUGCCAAAACAAAACAAGCUGAAGACGAAGAAAAACUGACAGGGGGAGGGUCAGGUUCACGGGCUGGUGCAGGAGGAAGAUCGCCUGGCUGCCUGGCUCUUGCUAGGGCCAAGAUGGCUGGAUGUAUUGCAGCCAUGGCUGGAUGUAAAGCUGCAAUGUCACGAGGAUACCACCGAUUAGCCUCCUAUAGACCUCGUCCUGGUGGAAAUAUUUUGUAUUCUUCACCUGAUGCGCAUGCCUAACGACAAUCACUCUUGUUCUCAUGGAAACCAAGAAAAAGAUUCACUAAUUCUAACCAAAAAAGUCGUAUCUUUUCAACUUUGCCAAUAUUUCCUGUGGUUUUAAUGUCAACAAAAUGGUUAGCCCAAGUAACCGCGAACUCCUAACUAUUAAGAUACUAUUGCGCCUGUUUCCGGUUAAUAAUUGUUAGGUAGCUAUAUUUGGUCAUGGUUUCGCGCCAAAAGUGAGUGAAGCGAGAGUGUAUGUCGAUUUGCGGUUUGAGUUUUUGGCGCAGAAACGGCGCAUCAAUUCAAAAUGUUUCAACUUAAGCAGGUUUUCCGAAAGCUAUUAUGGUUUCAGGAAAAACGGGGCUGUGAACGCUUAAACGAAAGGAAUACUCACGAGAAAAACAAAUUGAUUUUCGCUAUCGAAGAUUAUUUUUGGACAAAUGCACGCAUGGGUUUGCAGCAAAAGCCAAAAUCGAAUUUCAAAGCAAUGUAUAAAAAUAACAAAACAUAUCUCUGUUGAAAGUUAACGGAGAUAAAUUUUUCCCUUCUGUAAAGCCGGGUGCAUAACAACCCCUGAUGGCAGGUAACAUGCGCUAAAGAUAGCAGGGGAGAGGGGGAGGGGAGGGAAGGGGAGGCUUGUGUAAUGGCUCUACCUUAAAAAACAAAAUGGCGCACCUGACUUUUUGAUAGUCGUCAGCACGUACAAAUAUGAUAUAAAAGAAACCUAUUUCGCUUCAACUUUAGACAUUUUAAGUUUCCAUAAGUUAUUUUAAGGUAUUUUAGAGUUAAAUUAUUUGUAGUUUAAGGGUGAACAAAUAUAGAAUAGAACCGCUCACUUUUUGAUGAUCAUCAGCACGUACAAAUAUGUUAUAAAGGAAACUCAUAUAUCGCUUCAACUUAAGACAUUUUAAGUUUCCAUAAGUUCAGAUUUUAAGGUAUUUUAGAGUUAAAUUAUUUUUAGUUUAAGGGUGAGCAAAUAGAAGGGGUUUUAAUAACAUAUUAGUAAUGUAGAUAAAGCGAUACGCAUACUGUAAUUAAACUAGAGUUUAACUUUUA